rnacentral:rRNA from 1 species
GCUAAAGUGGACUAGCCUAAAAAGUAAAAUGGUUUAUAAACUGUUUAAACUAAAUGGGGAACCUUCCUCAAAGGCUAAAUAUAAUAUAUAAGCGAUAGUGGAAAGUACCGUGAGGGAACUAAAAGAAAAAUAGUAAUUUUAUAAGCAGUUCGGAAAAUAAAAAAGUUAGAACGUACCUUUUGCAUAAUGGGUCACCAAGUUAACAUUAGAUGCGAGAAUGCACGUAGUUAAACCGAGCGUUAAAAUAACGUAAAGUGUCUAAAGUUAGACCCGAAGCCUGGUGAUUUUACCAUAAUCAGGAUUAUAAAAGUCCGAACGGAAUAUUGUAGCAUAAAUAUCCGAAGAAUUAUGGUAGGUGUAGUGAAAGACAAUACUGACCAGGAUAGCUGGUUUUCUGCGAAACCUAUAAUAGUAGGCAAUUUAAGUUAAUAUCUUAGCAGGUACAGAAUUUAAUCUCAGACAAGACAUUAAAUGUUUUAUUUUGUACAAAUUGGGGGAUCAUGAAGAUUUUAUCAGUGAGUAUGCAGACUCGGAAUGGCAAAGAUAUAUCUUAAAUCAUCAGACAUAGAAUGAUAAGGUUGAGUACAGCCUUUUUGUAGAAGUGAACCUUCUGCUAUAAACCAUCAAAUUGCGGGAAAGCCCUAAAGCAAUCAUAACCAAGUAAGAGUAGUAAUACAUCUUAUGGCUCAGGCAAUGACUCGAGGUAAGGUAAAAUCAUGAUUGAUGUACGGAAGUUAAAUGGGUAAUCCGCAGCCAAGCACCUAUCACUAUUAAUUUAGUGAGGUGUGCAGUUCAUCGACUAAAUGUUGGUUGGCGCAAGCUUAAAAUAUAGUCAGGCCUUAUCCGAAAGGAUACAAUGGCAAUAAAGUAAUUUUUUGAUUUAUUAUAAAAUAUAUAAAUAGUUAAUCUAUUUAUAGGCCGGUUUUUACAAAAGACUUAAUACGACAGGCGACUACCUUUCGAAGGGUAACUGAUUUAAAUGGGCUGACACCCUGUUUAAAUAGUGUUAAUAGGUUAAGGUACUGUAAGAAAAGAUGUUACAAAGCUUGCUAUGAAUAUAUAGCCAGAUCUGAUGAUGAUGAUUACAUCAAGGAUCUGAGUGAGGAAUGUUGGUCUAUGGUCUAAUAUUCACGGUUUGUGAUGAGACAAACGCUAAGCUGUCGGCUUUUUAUAUUUAAAAUAACAUCAACAGUCACAGAAAACAAAUUUUUAUUAUUAAACAAAGGUUUAAUAGCUCCUGUCAAAAGCUAUGAUAAUGCUCUAUUAAAUAAAAAUAAUAUUGUAUUAGAAAAUAAAAAUAAAUCCGGUAUAUACCGUUGAAUAAAUAAAUUAAAUAAUAAUACUUAUAUAGGAAGUGGUCUAGAUUUAUCUAAAAGAAUUAAAGAAUAUUUAAAUAAUAGCGAAUUAAAGAGAAAUCCUAGACCUAUACAUGCUGCUUUACUAAAAUAUGGAUAUGAGAAUUUUCUAUUGGAGAUAAUAGAAUAGCCCAGAACAAGAGUUAAGGUUCCUAAAUUAUUCGUUGAGUGAAAUUAAGAAGGUUUUUAUUAAAGUCGACAAGGAGAUAGGCUUAGAAGCAGCCAUAAUUUUAUGACCUCGUAACAGAGCGCUUGUUAAGUUUUAAAAGCAUCGAAAAUUUACCGGAUCUAAACAAUAUACCGAAACCUUGUCCAUAUUAAUUUAUAGUAAAUAUUUUAUUAUAAUUAAGUGGGGUAGCAGAACGUUGAGCUGAAUUAUGAUUUUUAUUUUUUAAAUAAAAUUAUAUGCAUAGCAAGUUAUACUUGUAAGUAUGCUUCAAUUUAACUCAAGUGAUAAUGGUGACAUGAGUAACUAAAAGAAAAUUUUCCGCCUAAAGCUUAUGGAUAUAAUUAAGUAACGGCCUCUAAGUUUAUAUUAUCUAAAGAUUUAAACGAUGAGACAAUCUUUAUUACUAAGGACGACAUUUUAUGCUUAUUUAUAAGCAGUAGUGAAAAAUGUACUGGAAAAAUAGUAAUAUAUUUAUAAAUAGCUUUUAGCUAUUAUAAAUGAAAAGUAACCGUACCUAGAAUCUGAAACAAGUAAGCUAGUAGAGAAUACGAAGGCGUAAAUGAGCUAACAAUCAUAAAGGAACUCGGCAAAUUGACUACCGUAACUUCGGGAUAAGGAGAGCUCAUUAUUCUUGAUUAAUAUCAAGUAAAGAGGAAGAAGCAUGAAAUAGUGUUGUACGACUGUUUAAUUAAAACACAGCACUUUGCUGAAAGAUUAAAAAUCUAAGUAUAGAGUGUGAUGUCUGCCCGGUGCCGGCUGGUUAACAGAUAUAAUUGGAUAUACUAAUAUCUGAUGUAGACGGAAACCCCGGUUAAAGGCGGCCUUAACGUGAGGGUCCUAAGGUAGCGAAAUGCCUUGGCCGUUAAAUGCGGUCUUGCAUGAAUGAUGUAACGAUACAACAGCUGUCUCUAUGAUUGACUCAGUGAAAUUGGAAUAGCUGUGCAGAUACAGUUUACCUCUAGUUAGACGAGAAGACCCUAUGCAGCUUUACUGUCACUAAUUAUAGAGUAUGAUAAACAAUUUUCAGAUUAUAAGGUAAUUGACUAGAUGACAAUGAGAAUCCUUUAUUUUUUUUUCAUAUGAAUGAAUUGGUUUAGGAUUAUGAGAUGUGUAAUUUUGUUUAACAGAACUACAUAACUUAUUUUAGUAAAUCAACCUAGUUCAGCUUAUUUUAAUAAAAUAGGUAACCUUUGGUAAGGAACUAUCGCUAGGGGACAGUUUAUGUGGGGCACAGACCCUGUAAAGAGUAAACAGGAGUGUCUAAAAAUAUACAAAUAUUUUGUUUGCGAUUUAAGGUAGUUUAACUAUUUUUAAUCAUAUAAAAUUAUUUAUAUGUGCAUUUUUAUGUACAUAUAUUUAAAAUUAGGUAGGAUUUUCACUAUAUAGAAAUUAGAGAUAAUUAGAAACAUUAUGUAUUAAACUAAUGUUUUUUAACUAUUCUAUAGAAUAGUUA